rnacentral:rRNA from 1 species
UGGGGAAUUUUGGACAAUGGGGGAAACCCUGAUCCAGCCAUCCCGCGUGUGCGAUGAAGGCCUUCGGGUUGUAAAGCACUUUUGGCAGGAAAGAAACGUCAUGGGUUAAUACCCCGUGAAACUGACGGUACCUGCAGAAUAAGCACCGGCUAACUACGUGCCAGCAGCCGCGGUAAUACGUAGGGUGCAAGCGUUAAUCGGAAUUACUGGGCGUAAAGCGUGCGCAGGCGGUUCGGAAAGAAAGAUGUGAAAUCCCAGAGCUCAACUUUGGAACUGCAUUUUUAACUACCGGGCUAGAGUGUGUCAGAGGGAGGUGGAAUUCCGCGUGUAGCAGUGAAAUGCGUAGAUAUGCGGAGGACCACCGAUGGCGAAGGCAGCCUCCUGGGAUAACACUGACGCUCAUGCACGAAAGCGUGGGGAGCAAACAGG